rnacentral:rRNA from 1 species
AACGACGCUGGCGGCAUGCUAACCCAUGCGAUUCAAACGAGAUCUUCGGAUCUACUGGCGCACUGGUGCGUAACGCGUGGGAAUCUGCCCUUGGGUUCGGAAUAACUUCUGGAAACGGAAGCUAAUACCGGAUGAUGACGUAAGUCCAAAGAUUUAUCGCCCAAGGAUGAGCCCGCGUAGAUUAGGUAGUUGGUGAGGUAAAGGCUCACCAAGCCGACGAUCCUUAGCUGGUCUGAGAGGAUGAUCAGCCACACUGGGACUGAGACACGGCCCAGACUCCUACGGGAGGCAGCAGUAGGGAAUAUUGGACAAUGGGCGAAAGCCUGAUCCAGCAAUGCCGCGUGAGUGAUGAAGGCCUUAGGGUUGUAAAGCUCUUUUACCCGGGAUGAUCAAUGACAGUACCGGGAGAAUAAGCUCCGGCUAACUCCGUGCCAGACAGCCGCGGUAAUACGGAGGGAGCUAGCAGUUGUUCGGAAUUACUGGGCGUAAAGCGCACGUAGGCGGCUAUUCAAGUCAGAGGUGAAAGCCCGGGGCUCAACCCCGGA